rnacentral:rRNA from 1 species
CNGCGGCNCCGAACGUGANCAUNNUGCUUNGCNGUNNNUGUGGGNANGGGGGACGGNNGAGUNCUGUUAUGNNAGUUUUAAAGUUCGNCNUCNAACNGUACAUUUGCAGUUGNUNUUUCAGUNNUNCGNCNGGUAGAGGUGGGNAGAAUUUCGUGGUGUAGCGNGUAAAUGGCUUAGNAUAUCANGAAGAACUCCGAUUGCGAAGGCAGCUCACNUUGUNGAANUUUUGAUCUGGCUCAGGAUGAACGCUAGCUACAGGCUUAACACAUGCAAGUCGAGGGGCAUCAGGAAGAAAGCUUGCUUUCUUUGCUGGCGACCGGCGCACGGGUGAGUAACACGUAUCCAACCUGCCCUUUACUCGGGGAUAGCCUUUCGAAAGAAAGAUUAAUACCCGAUGGCAUAAUGAUUCCGCAUGGUUUCAUUAUUAAAGGAUUCCGGUAAAGGAUGGGGAUGCGUUCCAUUAGGUUGUUGGUGGGGUAACGGCCCACCAAGCCUUCGAUGGAUAGGGGUUCUGAGAGGAAGGUCCCCCACAUUGGAACUGAGACACGGUCCAAACUCCUACGGGAGGCAGCAGUGAGGAAUAUUGGUCAAUGGGCGCUAGCCUGAACCAGCCAAGUAGCGUGAAGGAUGAAGGCUCUAUGGGUCGUAAACUUCUUUUAUAUAAGAAUAAAGUGCAGUAUGUAUACUGUUUUGUAUGUAUUAUAUGAAUAAGGAUCGGCUAACUCCGUGCCAGCAGCCGCGGUAAUACGGAGGAUCCGAGCGUUAUCCGGAUUUAUUGGGUUUAAAGGGAGCGUAGGUGGACUGGUAAGUCAGUUGUGAAAGUUUGCGGCUCAACCGUAAAAUUGCAGUUGAUACUGUCAGUCUUGAGUACAGUAGAGGUGGGCGGAAUUCGUGGUGUAGCGGUGAAAUGCUUAGAUAUCACGAAGAACUCCGAUUGCGAAGGCAGCUCACUGGACUGCAACGACACUG